rnacentral:misc_RNA from 1 species
GAUGAAGAACGUAGCGAAAUGCGAUAAGUAAUGUGAAUUGCAGAAUUCAGUGAAUCAUCGAAUCUUUGAACGCACCUUGCACCCUUUGGCAUUCUGAAGGGUAUGCUCGUUUGAGUGUCAUUGUACUCUCACACUCCCGAUCUUUGCAUUGGGAGCAGUGGACUUGGGUUUGCUGCUUCACCGUCGCUACCUCAAAUAGGUUAGUGCAACUCUUGGUUGGACAUAGUACGGCGUGAUAAGUGUUCUUCGCCGGUGCCUCGCAAAGAGGGUGGCCGAUCGGGAUGUUGUGCUCCAAACCGUCUUCGGACAAUCUCUGACGACUUGACCUCAAAUCGAGUAAGACUACCCGCUGAACUUAAGCAUAUCAAUAAGCGGAGGA